rnacentral:tRNA from 1 species
GGGUGGUUAGUUUAAGAAAAAUAUUUGAUUUCGACUCAAAAGAUUCUGGUUAAAGCCCAUAAUCACCUU